AGUGAACGCUGGCGGUAGGCCUAACACAUGCAAGUCGAACGGCAGCACAGUAAGAGCUUGCUCUUACGGGUGGCGAGUGGCGGACGGGUGAGGAAUACAUCGGAAUCUACUUUUUCGUGGGGGAUAACGUAGGGAAACUUACGCUAAUACCGCAUACGACCUACGGGUGAAAGCAGGGGAUCUUCGGACCUUGCGCGAUUGAAUGAGCCGAUGUCGGAUUAGCUAGUUGGCGGGGUAAAGGCCCACCAAGGCGACGAUCCGUAGCUGGUCUGAGAGGAUGAUCAGCCACACUGGAACUGAGACACGGUCCAGACUCCUACGGGGGGCAGCAGUGGGGAAUAUUGGACAAUGGGCGCAAGCCUGAUCCAGCAAUACCGCGUGGGUGAAGAAGGCCUUCGGGUUGUAAAGCCAUUUUGUUGGGAAAGAAAAGAAGCAGGUUAAUCCCCCGCUGUUCUGACGGUACCCAAAGAAUAAGCACCGGCUAACUUCGUG
rnacentral:rRNA from 1 species